rnacentral:ncRNA from 1 species
CACAGGUUUGGUCCUAGCCUUUCCAUUUAUUUUUAAUAAAAUUACACAUGCAAGUAUCCGCACCCCAGUGAGAAUGCCCUCUAAAUCUCAGAGAUUAAAAGGAGCAGGUAUCAAGCACACCCCAUCGGUAGCUCACAACGCCUUGCUCAACCACACCCCCACGGGAUACAGCAGUGAUAGAAAUUAAGCUAUGAACGAAAGUUCGACUAAGUUAUGUUAAAUAGAGUUGGUAAAUAUCGUGCCAGCCACCGCGGUCAUACGAUUAACCCAAAUAAAUAGAAUUACGGCGUAAAGAGUGUCUAAGAAAAACCCCACAAUAGAGCUAAAUUUCAACUAAGCUGUAAAAAGCCAUAGAUGAAAAACAAAUAAACUACGAAAGUAGCUCUAAUAUCUCCAAUACACGAUAGCUAGGACUCAAACUGGGAUUAGAUACCCCACUAUGCCUAGCCCUAAACCUAAAUAAUCAACCAACAAGAUUAUUCGCCAGAGUACUACUAGCAACAGCCUAAAACUCAAAGGACUUGACGGUGCUUCAUAUCCAUCUAGAGGAGCCUGUUCUAUAAUUGAUAAACCCCGAUAAACCUCACCAACCCUUGCCAGAUCAGCCUAUAUACCGCCAUCUUCAGCAAACCCUAAAAAGGAACAACAGUAAGCACAACUAUAAUCUAUAAAAACGUUAGGUCAAGGUGUAGCCUAUGGGUUGGGAAGAAAUGGGCUACAUUUUCUAUAUAAGAAUACUUACGAAAAUUCUUAUGAAACUAAGAAUUAAAGGAGGAUUUAGCAGUAAAUUAAGAAUAGAGUGCUUAAUUGAAUAAGGCCACAAAGCACGCACACACCGCCCGUCACCCUCCUCAAGUAAACGUAACAUGCAAAACCUAUUACAAAUAUAACCACACAAGAGGAGACAAGUCGUAACAAGGUAAGCAUACUGGAAAGUGUGCUUGGAUAACC